rnacentral:rRNA from 1 species
UACAGAGGUCCCGAGCGUUGUUCGGAUUCAUUGGGCGUAAAGGGUGCGUAGGCGGCGGGGCAAGUCUGAUGUGAAAUCCUGGGGCUCAACCCUGGAACUGCAUUGGAUACUGCCUUGCUAGAGUACUGGAGAGGAAACUGGAAUUUACGGUGUAGCAGUGAAAUGCGUAGAGAUCGUAAGGAACACCGGUGGCGAAGGCGGUUCUCUGGGCAUUACCUGACGCUGAGGAGCGAAAGUGUGGGGAGCGAACAGG